CAGCCGCCGCGGUAAUUCGUAGGGUGCGAGCGUUAAUCGGAAUUACUGGGCGUAAAGCGUGCGCAGGCGGUUCUAUAAGACAGAUGUGAAAUCCCCGGGCUCAACCUGGGAACUGCAUUUGUGACUGUAGAGCUGGAGUGCGGCAGAGGGGGAUGGAAUUCCGCGUGUAGCAGUGAAAUGCGUAGAUAUGCGGAGGAACACCGAUGGCGAAGGCAAUCCCCUGGGCCUGCACUGACGCUCAUGCACGAAAGCGUGGGGAGCAAACAGGAUUAGAUACCCGAGUAGUCCCUGUCUCUUAUAC
rnacentral:rRNA from 1 species